CUAAAGAAAAGCUCGCACACUUAGACAAAAUGAAAAGAAACUUGAUAGCAUUCACAAUAUUUCUUCAGGCAACUAGGUUUUUCACAAUUGCAUCCUCUUUUAUGUUGAGCUGAAGUAGAAGUUUUGCUGGACUAAUCUUGUAAUGAAUAAUAAAGAGAAUAUUUAAAUGUGCUUAAGCACCAGGUGAGCAGAACAUGAGUCUAGAAAUCACUCGCUAACCCUAGCUUCAGAUCGAUAAUUCGAGCUCCUAAUCAAUUUGGGAACAAAAGUUAGAGGAUUUCUGGAUUGAAUCUAUUUGCGAGUUGCAAGGACAGUGUCCUCAUGGACAGGCUUGUUGAAGCAAUCUGUAUAUGCACAUGGCUCGACAUAGUAGACACCAGCAGCGAAGCAUCCACAGUAACUACAUUAAGAAAAUUUUAUUUAAACCCUAAAGCAUAGUCAAAAGCUACAAAAUGGCUUCCAUCAUAUAAUGCAAUUUCUGACAUUGAUUUUAGGUUUUUAUGAAUAACGAGAAGUGCCCAAUGGAGGGCAUCUAACAUAACCAAAGUUGUUGACAACAAAACAACUCUUGAAUGACAGGGGGAAAAACAUGACAACAACAGUUUUGUAAGAGAGAAUCUUUGUCAAAAUAUAACCAUCAAAGUUCAAGCAUAUCAAGAACUUCACAUUUAAUAAAUCAUUUUGAGUUUAACAGUAGAAGUAAACGCAGUAGGCAAGCAAAAAUUUG
rnacentral:lncRNA from 1 species